AUAAAGAAACGUUUUCACUGUGCAUCUGCAAAUGAUUCAUCUGCUGAUGAAACAUCUGUGCCCAAAGAGGGCAUCAGCAGCCAGCUGACGGAGGUGUCUCUUGCCUUGGAAAAGGUCUCAGAUGAGCUUGGGGAGAUCGACAGAAAAAUGAGUCUACUCAGCAGCAGCAAGGAGGAGGAGAAACCCGGCUACUGGACCAGGAUGGCAAAAAAAAUUGACAAGGCUUACUCUAUUAUAUAUGUCAUGUCUGCUUCUCUAUUUUUACUUACCAUCUUCACAAUGUGGGCUACUUAAGAUGUUGUAAAGUCUGGAAAGAGGUUGAAUUCACCAUUAAUUUAACACAGACACAUACCUCUGUGUAGUCUGUACUCACACGUGUAAUUCACUGGCCAAAACUGACAACACUGACAACAAAAUAUCUCAUUGAUGUCUCAGAUAGGGAGGUGAGGGCUCAUUCUGAUCUGUCAGAACAUGCAGUCAGGUGACCUCACUGAUGAUGGCGUUAUGUUUGCUGAUCUACAACGCAUCAACACAACGACACCAACCCACAGGGGAGAUAUUUUUUUACUUAUGACUAACAGCAAGUUGAGCUGCAGUUCAUUGUGUUGUUAGUUAUCACAAUAAGCUGCACAGACAUGCAUUUUAUUCACUUCUAUGUCUUGGAUUCUCAAACUUCAUGUCUGGCUGAAAUUUGGUCUGAUUCUAAAAUAUGUUGGUGGCAAAAAAUUUCAGAUAAAAUUGGGCUUAAUCCAUACGAUGUGUACUAAACAGGAUGUUUUUAACAUUACAAACUGACAUAUUUAAAAUAUUAAUACUUGUUGAAAACUACAAUUGUUGCCUUUUAGCUACAUAGCUGUGUUAAGAUUGUAGUCAUGAUUCAUAGAUACUGGUUGGUCUGGUGGGAGUGGCUUCGGACAGAGAGAGGAGAGCUGAAGGUGUCUUUGGUCUUGGGUUUUGUUCAGUUUGUUUCCAUUGUUAUUUUGUAAUCCAUCUCUUGUGGGAACAUUCGCUACUUGCCUUGGGAAUUGUGAUGACACGUAGAACACAUAUAUUCAUUAUUAAUCAUUAAAAAAACAAACAUUUCAAUUAAUCUUUCAAAUACUCAAUAACAUAAUUAGUCGUGUAAUGUAAUGGGACUGUAGAUGUAUUUGGAAUUAAAUGCUCAACUAUAUGAAUAUGGUGCAUUUCAGUUUAAUAUUUUCCAUGUAACAGUUGAGUGGUUGUUUCAUAUCUGCAUUUGCAUCUGUAUUUAACAUAUUAAUAGAUUCUAAUGUAUUCAUGUGAUAGACGCAAAGUCUUUACAUCUGGUUCUUAAAUCAUGCAUUAUUUGACUGUAACUUAACUCUUCUCUGUUUUAUUGUAGCAUGCAUAGGCAUAAGUUCUGACGUGUGCAUUUAUCCCCUAAUAAAAGCAUGACUAAAGUA